GUCCCCGUAGCUCAAUGGACAGAGUAACAGACUUCGAAUCUGGUGGUUGCGCGUUCGACCCGCGCCGGGGACGCCA
rnacentral:tRNA from 1 species